GACGAACGCUGGCGGCGUGCUUAACACAUGCAAGUCGAACGGAAAGGCCCUGCUUUUGUGGGGUGCUCGAGUGGCGAACGGGUGAGUAACACGUGAGUAUCCUGCCCUUGACUUUGGGAUAACUUCAGGAAACUGGGGCUAAUACCGGAUAUGAGCUCCUGCUGCAUGGUGUGGGUUGGAAAGUUUCGGCGGUUGGGGAUGGACUCGCGGCUUCUCAGCUUGUUGGUGGGGUAGUGGCUUACCAAGGGUUUGACGGAUAGCCGGCCUGAGAGGGGAACCGGGGACAUGGGGACUGAGAGACGGACCAGACGCAAACGGGAGGCAGCAGGGGGGAAUAUUGCAGAAUGGGGGGAAGCCUGAGGCAGAAACGCCGCGAGCGGGAUGAAGGCCUUCGGGUUGUAAACCGAUUUCGAAUGUGACGAAGCGGGAGUGACGGUAAUGGGUAAAGAAGCACCGGCUAACUACGUG
rnacentral:rRNA from 1 species